rnacentral:rRNA from 1 species
GACGAACGCUGGCGGCGUGCUUAACACAUGCAAGUCGACCGGUAAGGCCCUUCGGGGUCCACGAGUGGCGAACGGGUGAGUAACACGCGGGUGAUCUGCCAUGCACUUCGGGAUAAGCGUGGGAAACUGGGUCUAAUACCGGAUAGGACCACCGUCUGCCUGGGAGGUGGUGGAAAGGUUUGGCGGUGUGGGAUGGGCCCGCGGCCUAUCAGCUUGUGGGUGGGGUGAUGGCCUACCAAGGCGACGACGGGUAGCCGGCCUUAGAGGGUGACCGGCCACACUGGGACUGGGAUACGGCCCAGACUCCUACGGGAGGCAGCAGUGGGGAAUAUUGCACAAUGGGCGCAAGCCUGAUGCAGCGACGCCGCGUGAGGGAUGACGGCCUUCGGGUUGUAAACCUCUUUCAGCACCGACGAAGCGCAAGUGACGGUAGGUGCAGAAGAAGGACCGGCCAACUACGUGCCAGCCGCCGCCGUAA